UGAAACUGCACCUGGGGCAACUGAGACUCUCAUUAUAAUAUCGGGAACACCUAAACAGACCCAUGCUGCACAGAGCCUGCUUCAAGCAUUUGUAAUGAGCGGGACAGCCUCCCUCUGAUUUGCCGUAGUGGACAGGUGGAAUAUCAAUUAUCCAUUCAUUCAUACAUGUGAGGCUCAUGUAUGAUUUGACUGGCCCAUUUUGGCCUAAGCUGUAUUCAUCAUCGCCCUGCCUCAUGGACUUCCUGAAUACUUAGCAAGUGUGCCAAAAGCACAUCCAUCUUUCCUAAAUCUAAUUUUCUCCAAAAGUCAGGUGGGCCACAUUGCAAGAAAUAAUAGGGAUUGGACACUCACCAUUGAAAAGCUGAUAUUUGUGUUUUCUCUUCAUCCUUGUGGACAUCACCUGAUGAAUGGGUUGGAUGGAACAUAAAUAGAAUGGUGGGCUCCAUAAAGGUCUUAUUGAUGGUGUUUCCAUCCUCUAGUAUUUCUUGUGGUGUGGCCCACCUAGGUUUUAUUAUCUACCUAGUUUUUUUAUUAACUCAUGGACUACCAUGACUUGACAAAACUGAUGGAUGAAGUGGAUGUCACAAGGACAUUGAGACUUUCUGAUCUUUGUUACAUCUAAAAAAUGUAUCCUCCUAAUAACUAUGGUCUAAAGAGAUUGAGACUUCUUAAGAUCCAUCAGCAACAAGUAUUCCAUGUUGCAGCUUUCCUUUAACAAUUUCAUGCUUCUAGUAGGAAUUAUGGAGCUGCAUCCAGGAGAGAUCAAUAGCAUCCCAAGUAAAGCACGCAUAGAAAUUGGUAUGCCUCCUCUUUGGUGAAUAAAAUUCAGUGAGACCCAGGAUAAUUUUAAUAUUUGUGAUUUUGAAGGAGAAAAAAAAGAUAUGGGUUUAGUAAGGAUUCCUUCAUUGAAAUUCUGUUUUCUGUAUAAGAUGCCUUCAUUAAUUAUAUGGCGAUUAAUUAUCUUUGAUUCCUAGCAUAAUAGUUAGUAUGACUUUAAGUUACCAAUUAAUUUCAAU